ACAAGCGGUGGAUGAUGUGGAUUAAUUCGAUGCAACGCGAAAACCUUACCUACCCUUGACAUGUUCGGAAUUCCGCAGAGAUGUGGAAGUGCUCGAAAGAGAACCGGAACACAGGUGCUGCAUGGCUGUCGUCAGCUCGUGUCGUGAGAUGUUGGGUUAAGUCCCGCAACGAGCGCAACCCUUGUCAUUAGUUGCUACGAAAGGGCACUCUAAUGAAACUGCCGGUGACAAACCGGAGGAAGGUGGGGAUGACGUCAAGUCCUCAUGGCCCUUAUGGGUAGGGCUUCACACGUCAUACAAUGGUCGGUACAGAGGGCUGCCGACCCGUAAGGGGGAGCCAAUCCUUUAAAACCGAUCGUAGUCCGGAUUGAGGUCUGCAACUCGACCUCAUGAAGUCGGAAUCGCUAGUAAUCGCGGAUCAGCAUGUCGCGGUGAAUACGUUCCCGGGUCUU
rnacentral:rRNA from 1 species